rnacentral:rRNA from 1 species
GCUAUACAUGCAGUCGAGCGAACAGAGAAGGAGCUUGCUCCUUCGACGUUAGCGGCGGACGGGUGAGUAACACGUGGGCAACCUACCUUAUAGUUUGGGAUAACUCCGGGAAACCGGGGCUAAUACCGAAUAAUCUAUUUUACUUCAUGGUGAAAUACUGAAAGACGGUUUCGGCUGUCGCUAUAAGAUGGGCCCGCGGCGCAUUAGCUAGUUGGUGAGGUAACGGCUCACCAAGGCGACGAUGCGUAGCCGACCUGAGAGGGUGAUCGGCCACACUGGGACUGAGACACGGCCCAGACUCCUACGGGAGGCAGCAGUAGGGAAUCUUCCACAAUGGGCGAAAGCCUGAUGGAGCAACGCCGCGUGAGUGAAGAAGGUUUUCGGAUCGUAAAACUCUGUUGUAAGGGAAGAACAAGUACAGUAGUAACUGGCUGUACCUUGACGGUACCUUAUUAGAAAGCCACGGCUAACUACGUGCCAGCAGCCGCGGUAAUACGUAGGUGGCAAGCGUUGUCCGGAAUUAUUGGGCGUAAAGCGCGCGCAGGCGGUCCUUUAAGUCUGAUGUGAAAGCCCACGGCUCAACCGUGGAGGGUCAUUGGAAACUGGGGGACUUGAGUGCAGAAGAGGAAAGUGGAAUUCCAAGUGUAGC